rnacentral:rRNA from 1 species
GACGAACGCUGGCGGCGUGCUUAACACAUGCAAGUCGAGCGGUAAGGCCCUUCGGGGUACACGAGCGGCGAACGGGUGAGUAACACGUGAGCAAUCUGCCCUGCACAUCGGGAUAACCCCCGGAAACGGGAGCUAAUACCGGAUACGACCACUUCAGGCCACCGAGGGUGGUGGAACGUUCCGGCGGUGCAGGAUGAGCUCGCGGCCUAUCAGCUUGUUGGUGGGGUAACGGCCCACCAAGGCUUCGACGGGUAGCCGGCCUGAGAGGGUGACCGGCCACACUGGGACUGAGACACGGCCCAGACUCCUACGGGAGGCAGCAGUGGGGAAUAUUGGACAAUGGGCGAAAGCCUGAUCCAGCAACGCCGCGUGAGGGAUGACGGCCUUCGGGUUGUAAACCUCUUUCAGCAGGGACGAAGCGCAAGUGACGGUACCUGCAGAAGAAGCACCGGCCAACUACGUGCCAGCAGCCGCGGUAAGAC